AGAGUUUGAUCCUGGCUCAGGAUGAACGCUAGCGGCAGGCUUAACACAUGCAAGUCGAGGGGCAGCGCGAGGUAGCAAUACCUUGGCGGCGACCGGCGCACGGGUGCGUAACGCGUAUGCAACCUACCCGCUACAGGGGGAUAACGGAGGGAAACUUCCACUAAUAUCCCAUGGUGUUGUUUUCCCGCAUGGGGAGACAACUAAAGCUUCGGUGGUAGUGGAUGGGCAUGCGUGACAUUAGGUAGUUGGCGGGGCAACGGCCCACCAAGCCGACGAUGUCUAGGGGAGCUGAGAGGCUUAUCCCCCACACUGGUACUGAGACACGGACCAGACUCCUACGGGAGGCAGCAGUGAGGAAUAUUGGUCAAUGGACGGAAGUCUGAACCAGCCAUGCCGCGUGGAGGAAGAAGGUCCUAUGGGUUGUAAACUCCUUUUGUUCCAGAGUAAUAAGGGCUUUGCGAAGUCCGAUGAGAGUAUGGGACGAAUAAGCAUCGGCUAACUCCGCGCCAGCAGCCGCGGUAAUACGGAGGAUGCAAGCGUUAUCCGGAUUUAUUGGGUUUAAAGGGUGCGCAGGCGGAUAGUUAAGUCAGCGGUGAAAUCUCACGGCUCAACCGUGGAACUGCCGUUGAUACUGGCUGUCUAGAGUACGGACGGCGCCGGCGGAAUGUGUCAUGUAGCGGUGAAAUGCUUAGAUAUGCCACAGAACACCGAUCGCGAAGGCAGCUGGCGAGGCCGGUACUGACGCUCAGGCACGAAAGCGUGGGGAUCAAACAGGAUUAGAUACCCUGGGUAGUCCACGCAGUAAACGAUGAGGACUUGUUGUCGGCGAUAGAAUGUCGGUGACAAAGCGAAAGCGAUAAGUCCUCCACCUGGGGAGUACGAUCGCAAGGUUGAAACUCAAAGGAAUUGACGGGGGCCCGCACAAGCGGAGGAGCAUGUGGUUUAGUUCGAAGCAACGCGAAAAACCUUACCAGGGCUUGACAUCCUUCUGACCGGUCCUUAACCGGACCUUUCUUCGGACAGAAGUGACAGGUGGUGCAUGGUUGUCGUCAGCUCGUGUCGUGAGAUGUUGGGUUAAGUCCCGCAACGAGCGCAACCCUUGUCGUCAGUUACUAACAUUAGGUUGAGGACUCUGACGAGACUGCCGAGGUUAACUCGGAGGAAGGUGGGGAUGACGUCAAAUCAUCAUGCCCCUUAUGUUCUGGGCUACACACGUGCUACAAUGGUCGGUACAAUGAGAAGCAAGAUGGCGACAUGGAGCAAAUCACCAAAACCGAUCUCAGUUCGGAUUGCAGGCUGCAACUCGCCUGCAUGAAGUCGGAGUUGCUAGUAAUCGCGGAUCAGCAUGCCGCGGUGAAUGCGUUCCCGGGUCUUGUACACACCGCCCGUCACACCAUGGAAGUUGGGGCGCCCAAAGUUGGUCAGUUAAUAGAUUACCUAAGGCGAAACCAAUGACUGGGGUGAAGUCGUAACAAGGUAACCGUA
rnacentral:rRNA from 1 species